CCUACGGGUGGCAGCAGUCGAGAAUCAUUCACAAUGGGGGAAACCCUGAUGGUGCGACGCCGCGUGGGGGAAUGAAGGUCUUCGGAUUGUAAACCCCUGUCAUGUGGGAGCAAAUUAAAAAGAUAGUACCACAAGAGGAAGAGACGGCUAACUCUGUGCCAGCAGCCGCGGUAAUACAGAGGUCUCAAGCGUUGUUCGGAAUCACUGGGCGUAAAGCGUGCGUAGGCUGUUUCGUAAGUCGUGUGUGAAAGGCGCGGGCUCAACCCGCGGACGGCACAUGAUACUGCGAGACUAGAGUAAGGGAGGGGGAACCGGAAUGCUGGGUGUAGCAGUGAAAUGCGUAGAUAUCGAGAGGAACACUCGUGGCGAAGGCGGGUUCCUGGACAUUAACUGACGCUGAGGCACGAAGGCCAGGGGAGCGAAAGGGAUUAGAUACCCGUGUAGUC
rnacentral:rRNA from 1 species